UACAGAGGAUGCAAGCGUUAUCCGGAAUGAUUGGGCGUAAAGAGCUCGUAGGCGGCCUGUUGCGUCCGCUGUGAAAGCCCGGGGCUUAACCCCGGGUCUGCAGUGGAUACGGGCAGGCUAGAGGUAGGUAGGGGAGAAUGGAAUUCCCGGUGUAGCGGUGAAGUGCGCAGAUAUCGGGAGGAACACCGGUGGCGAAGGCGGUUCUCUGGGCCUUACCUGACGCUGAGGAGCGAAAGCGUGGGGAGCGAACAGG
rnacentral:rRNA from 1 species